UGCCCAGCAACUCCUAUCCCUACCUCCACGCUGUACCGGCCGGAAACUAUGAGCAACCUUAGGGAAGAUCGGGUAACCAACCCCGGUGGGAACUUUGGUCGUAGGCUGACAGGGAAGG
rnacentral:ribozyme from 1 species